UUCCGCUACAGGGUUUUCCGGUUGCAUCAAAGGUCUCCUCUGCACGAACAUGGAGUCGAAGCUGCAGCUUUUACGAAAACACGUCCGGACCUUCCCGGACUUUCCGAAACCCGGGAUCCAGUUCAGAGACAUAUGUCCCAUCUUGAAGAGCCCCCCUGCUCUAACUGCUGCCAUUGACCUGUUUGAGGAACAGGUGAGGACCAUACACCCGCAGGUGGAUCUCAUUGUAGGUCUUGACGCUCGGGGGUUCCUGUUCGGGCCUUUGCUAGCCCAAAGGUUGGGCAUUGGUUUUGUUCCUGUCAGGAAAAGGGGGAAGCUCCCUGGAACCACCGUCACUGCAGCCUACGACCUUGAGUAUGGCAAGGCAGAGCUAGAGAUCCAAGAGGACGCUGUGUCACCGGCUCAGAAGAUUGUACUGAUUGAUGACCUUCUGGCUACAGGAGGAGAACAACCACAGAGACGGGAAACCAGCUUGCUGCUCUGGCACAUGAUCAGAUGAUCCACGAAGGAGGCGGCAAACUUGCAGCAGCUGAGAAACUUUGGAUGGAGAGGUUUCAGAGACAAAGCUGAAGCACAGCUUCUUCCACAGAUUGUCAUCAAUCAGCAUUUAAAAUCCAUCAAAGUCCUCAUCUUCUGGAUCUGAAACAGCUGGGCUACAUCUCUAUCAGACACGCCAGCUUCACUUCCGUCAUCGUCAGAGUCCGUCUCGUCGCUGUGCGGCUCCAAAGAACGGUGAAAGCAGACUCGUCAGCCCAAACUUAAGUCCUACAGUCCAAAAGUGUGGCGUAACUCGCCCAGCGCUGCCUCCAAGUAAAAGGAGUGGAGGAUGGACAGCUUUUCAUUGUCAUCUGCUGGAAGUUGCUGCGCUCGAGUCGAUCUUCCAACACAGUCAACCUCGCCUUGUUUCUCUGGAAACUCAGCUGCUGCUGCGUCUUCUUGUCUUGUCAGAGUUGUUUUUUCAGCGCCAUCAUUUGUGAACCAUGGAUUCAUUAUUUUAAAUUCUCUGGCAGCUGAAGAUAAAGUUAGAAAGAUCUUCACAGAUUCGGACUUCCUGCUUCACUAACUCUUCUGAUCAACGUUCAAAUGUGUCAGCAAGUAUCUCAAUCAUUUCGUCUUAACACAAAGUGAACCACAACUGCAUUUCUAAAGAUCGUUUUGUUGCCUUUUUUAAUCAGCAUGUUCGUCUUAAGCUGUGAAUGCAGACAUGCAGAGCCAGUUGCAGAGGGACCGUUAACAAAGUGCAACCUCUGUGAAACACCAUUCUGUAAAAAUCAAUAACUUCACAAAAAAAG